AUUGAACGCUAGCGGGAUGCUUUACACAUGCAAGUCGAACGGCAGCGCGGACUUCGGUCUGGCGGCGAGUGGCGAACGGGUGAGUAAUGUAUCGGAACGUGCCCAGUAGCGGGGGAUAACUACGCGAAAGCGUAGCUAAUACCGCAUACGCCCUACGGGGGAAAGCAGGGGAUCGUAAGACCUUGCACUAUUGGAGCGGCCGAUAUCGGAUUAGCUAGUUGGUGAGGUAACGGCUCACCAAGGCGACGAUCCGUAGCUGGUUUGAGAGGACGACCAGCCACACUGGGACUGAGACACGGCCCAGACUCCUACGGGAGGCAGCAGUGGGGAAUUUUGGACAAUGGGGGAAACCCUGAUACAGCCAUCCCGCGUGUGCGAUGAAGGCCUUCGGGUUGUAAAGCACUUUUGGCAGGAAAGAAACGUCGCGGGCUAAUACCCCGUGGAACUGACGGUACCUGCAGAAUAAGCACCGGCUAACUACGUG
rnacentral:rRNA from 1 species